GGGGAUUUAGCUCAGUGGUAGAGCGCUUGCCUAGAAAGUACAAGGCCCUGGGUUCGGUCCCCAGCUCCG
rfam:Rattus norvegicus chromosome 7, whole genome shotgun sequence.